rnacentral:rRNA from 1 species
GACGAACGCUGGCGGCGUGCUUAACACAUGCAAGUCGAACGGAAAGGCCCUGCUUUUGUGGGGUGCUCGAGUGGCGAACGGGUGAGUAACACGUGAGUAACCUGUCCUUGACUUUGGGAUAACUUCAGGAAACUGGGGCUAAUACCGGACAGGAGCUCCUGCUGCAUGGUGGGGGUUGGAAAGUUUCGGCGGUUGGGGAUGGACUCGCGGCGUACGAGCUUGUUGGUGGGGUAGUGGCUUACCAAGGCUUUGACGGGUCGCCGGCCUGAGAGGGUGACCGGCCACAAUGGGACUGAGAUACGGCCCAGACUCCUACGGGAGGCAGCAGGGGGGAGUAUUGCACAAUGGGCGCAAGCCUGAUGAAGCAACGCCGCGGGCGGGAUGACGGCCUUCGGGUUGUAAACCGCUUUCGCCUGUGACGAAGCGUGAGUGACGGUAAUGGGUAAAGAAGCACCGGCUAACUACGUG